UACGUAGGGGGCAAGCGUUGUCCGGAAUCAUUGGGCGUAAAGAGCGCGUAGGCGGUCCGGUAAGUCCGCUCUGAAAGUCCGGGGCUCAAUCCCGGGAGGCGGGCGGAUACUGCCGGGCUAGAGUCCGGAAGAGGCGAGUGGAAUUCCUGGUGUAGCGGUGAAAUGCGCAGAUAUCAGGAGGAACACCGAUGGCGAAGGCGGCCUGCUGGGCAGUUGCUGACACUGAGGCGCGACAGCGUGGGGAGCAAACAGG
rnacentral:rRNA from 1 species